CAAUAGCGUAUAUUUAAGUUGUUGCAGUUAAAAAGCUCGUAGUUGGAUUUCGGGCGGGGCAUGCCGGUCCGCUCUUUGAGUGUGCACUGGCAGGCGUCGUCUUUCUGUCGAGGACGCGCUUCUGGUCUUUACUGAUCGGGGACGCGGAGUCGGCGAAGUUACUUUGAAAAAAUUAGAGUGUUCAAAGCGGGCUUUCGCUUGAAUAUAUUAGCAUGGAAUAACACGAUAGGACUCCUGUCCUAUUUUGUUGUCUUCGGGACGGAGUAAUGAUUAAGAGGAACAGUUGGGGGCAUUCGUAUUUCAUUGUCAGAGGUGAAAUUCUUUGGAUUGCCGUACGACGAACUACUGCGAAAGCAUUUGCCAAGGAUGUUUUCAUUGAUCAAGAACGAAAGUAAGGGGAUCGAAGACGAUUAGAUACCA
rnacentral:rRNA from 1 species